AACGAACGCUGGCGGCAGGCUUAACACAUGCAAGUCGAGCGCCCCGCAAGGGGAGCGGCAGACGGGUGAGUAACGCGUGGGAAUCUACCUAUCACUACGGAACAACUCCGGGAAACUGGAGCUAAUACCGUAUACGUCCGAGAGGAGAAAGAUUUAUCGGUGAUAGAUGAGCCCGCGUUGGAUUAGCUAGUUGGUGGGGUAAUGGCCUACCAAGGCGACGAUCCAUAGCUGGUCUGAGAGGAUGAUCAGCCACACUGGGACUGAGACACGGCCCAGACUCCUACGGGAGGCAGCAGUGGGGAAUAUUGGACAAUGGGCGAAAGCCUGAUCCAGCCAUGCCGCGUGAGUGAUGAAGGCCUUAGGGGUUGUAAAGCUCUUUCACCCGGUGAAAGAGUAAAUGACGGUAACCGGAGAAG
rnacentral:rRNA from 1 species